rnacentral:lncRNA from 1 species
CCCUUGAGAAAACCAGAGAAACUUCUCUCCCACCUACCACGUCUUCCCCUGGGACAGACAUAGAAACUUCGCUCCCUCCUUCCACUUCUCCCCUUGAGACAACCAUGGCCACCUCUCUCCCUCCUACCACGUCUCCCCUUGAGACAACCAGAGAAACUUCUCUCCCUCCUACCACGUCUCCCCUUGAGACAACCAGAGAAACUUCUCUCCCUCCUACCACGUCUCCCCUUGAGACAACCAGAGAAACUUCUCUCCCUCCUACCACGUCUCCCCUUGAGACAACCAGAGAAACUUCUCUCCCUCCUACCACGUCUCCCCUUGAGACAACCAGAGAAACUUCUCUCCCUCCUACCACGUCUCCCCUUGAGACAACCAGAGAAACUUCUCUCCCUCCUACCACGUCUCCCCUUGAGACAACCAGAGAAACUUCUCUCCCUCCUACCACGUCUCCCCUUGAGACAACCAGAGAAACUUCUCUCCCUCCUACCACGUCUCCCCUUGAGACAACCAGAGAAACUUCUCUCCCUCCUACCACGUCUCCCCUUGAGACAACCAGAGAAACUUCUCUCCCUCCUACCACGUCUCCCCUUGAGACAACCAGAGAAACUUCUCUCCCUCCUACCACGUCUCCCCUUGAGACAACCAGAGAAACUUCUCUCCCUCCUACCACGUCUCCCCUUGAGACAACCAGAGAAACUUCUCUCCCUUCUACCGCAUCUUCCCCUGAGACAACCAUGGCCAGUUCUCUCCCUCCUACCACCUCUCCCCUUGAGACAAGCAUGAUCACUUCUCCUCCUCCUUCCACAUCUCCACUUGAGACAACCAUAGCCACAUAUCAACCUCCCACCACAUCUCCCCUUGAGACGACCAUAGCCACAUCUCUCCCUCCUACCACUUCUACGCUUGAGACCACCAUGGCCACAUCUCUGCCUCCCACCACUUCUACCCUUGAGACGACCAUAGCGAAUUCUCUCCCUCCUACCACUUCUACCCUUGAGACGACCAUAGCGAAUUCUCUCCCUCCUACCACUUCUCCCCUUGAGACGACCAUAGCGAAUUCUCUCCCUCCUACCACUUCUCCCCUUGAGACGACCAUAGCGAAUUCUCUCCCUCCUACCACUUCUCCCCUUGAGACGACCAUAGCGAAUUCUCUCCCUCCUACCACUUCUCCCCUUGAGACGACCAUAGCGAAUUCUCUCCCUCCUACCACUUCUCCCCUUGAGACGACCAUAGCGAAUUCUCUCCCUCCUACCACUUCUCCCCUUGAGACGACCAUAGCGAAUUCUCUCCCUCCUACCACUUCUCCCCUUGAGACGACCAUAGCGAAUUCUCUCCCUCCUACCACUUCUCCCCUUGAGACGACCAUAGCCACUUCUCUCCCUCCUACCACGUCUCCCCUUGAGACAACCGUGGUCACUUCUCACCCUCCUAC